rnacentral:rRNA from 1 species
UAAAAUAAAUUUAUUUAUAAAAUGAUUAUAAUAAAAAUAAUUUAAUUUUUAGUAAUUUUUAAAGAAAUAAUAAAUUUUAUGAUAGUGUAUAGUAUUGAAAAAGAAUAUUGAAAUAAUUGAAAAUAAAUUAUUUUAAAAGAAAUUUUUAAUUAUUGUACCUUUUGUAUCAGGGAUUAUUAAUUAAUUAGUAAAUAAGUUAUUAAUUUCGAAAUAAAAAGAUUUAAUUUAAUAUAAUUUUUAUUGUGAUAAAAUUAUCUUUAAUAUUAAAUUAGAAGUUAAAAGUUAAACGGGUUUUAUUAUAUCUAAUUUUUUAAGAAAUAAAUUAAAUUUAGAUUAUAUUAUUAUUUUAUUAAAUUAUUUGUUAAAUUUAAUAAUAAAAUAUAAUUAAUAUAUUAAGGGAUAAGCUUUAAUAUAAAUAUUAUAAAAUAUUAAGUAUUAUUUAUAAUUAAUAGAUUCUUAGAAAUAGAAGUUAUUUAUAGUAUGUUAUAAUUUAAUAAAUUAUUUGAUAAUAUUUAUUUUUUUUUGAUUAUUUUAUUAAAAUAUUUAAUUUAAUAAUAAAGUUAAAGUAAUAAUGAUAAUAUUAGUAUAUUAGUUAUUUAAAUAAUAAUAUAUAAAAUUAAUUAUUAAUAAAAUAAUUAUAAGGAAUUCGGCAAAUAUAAUGUUCACCUGUUUAUUAAAAACAUGUCUUUUUGUAUUUAAUUUAAGGUUUAAUCUGCCCACUGAUAAAAUUAAAGGGCCGCAGUAUAUUAACUGUGCAAAGGUAGCAUAAUCAUUAGUUUUUUAAUUGGAAGCUAGAAUGAAUGAUUGAAUGAAAUAUUUACUGUCUUAUAAUUAUUAAAAUAAAAUUUUAAUUUUUAAUAAAAAAGUUAAGAUAAUAUAAAAAGACGAGAAGACCCUAUAGAUCUUUAUAUAUUGAUAAUUUUUAUAAAAAUUAGUUAAUUUAUUUUUAAAAAUAAUAUUAUAUUAUAUUGGGGUAAUAAUAAAAUUUUAUAAAUUUUUAUUUAUUAAAUUCAAAAUUAAUUGAUUUUUUUGAUCCAGUAUUAUUGAUUAUAAAAUUAAGUUACCUUAGGGAUAACAGCAUAAUGAUUUUUGAGAGUUCUUAUCAAUAAAAUAGUUUGUGACCUCGAUGUUGAAUUAAAAUUUAUUUUAGGUGUAGGUGUUUAAUUAAUAAAGUCUGUUCGACUUUUAAUAUUUUACAUGAUUUGAGUUUAGACCGGCGUAAGCCAGGUCAGUUUCUAUCUUUUAAAAAUUAAAAUAUUUUAGUACGAAAGGAUUAAAUAUUAAAUUAAUUUAAUUAAUAUAUAUAUAUUAUAUAUAUAUAUAUAUAUAAGGAAUAAUUUUAAAUAUUUUAUU